rnacentral:rRNA from 1 species
AUUGAACGCUGGCGGCAGGCCUAACACAUGCAAGUCGAGCGAGCGGCGGACGGGUGAGGAAUGUAUGGGGAUCUGCGCGAUAGAGGGGGAUAACUAAUGGAAACGGAGGCUAAUUACGCAUACUAUCGGAUGGACCCGUAUGGGAUGAGCUAGUAGGUGGGGUAAAGGCUUACCUAGGCGACGAUCUCUAACUGGGCUGAGAGGAUGAUCAGCCACACUGGGACUGAGACACGGCCCAGACUCCUACGGGAGGCAGCAGUGGGGAAUAUUGCACAAUGGGCGAAAGCCUGAUGCAGCCAGUCCGCGUGUAUGAAGAAGGCCUUAGGAUUGUAAAGCACUUUAAGCGGGGAGGCGUUACCCACAGAAUAAGCACCGGCUAACUCCGUGCCAGCAGCCGCGGUAAUAC